rnacentral:misc_RNA from 1 species
AACGCACCUUGCGCUCCUUGGUAUUCCGAGGAGCAUGCCUGUUUGAGUGUCAUGAAAUUCUCAACCCACCCUGCUUUUUGUUAAGUGGGGGAUUGGGCUUGGAUUUGGGGGUUAUUUACUGCUGGUCGGGCUCGCUCAAUCGGCUCCCCUUGAAGGCAAUUAGCCCCAGGACCCUUUGCCUCCCGGUCAGUUUCACGGUGUGAUAGUCUAUCAACGCCGGUGUGCUGGUGUCAGGUGUUGGCAUAUAUAGUCACGGUCUGGCUGUCCAAAGGACUUGGAUGUCCACUUUCUCAAUCUGACCUCAAAUCAGGUAGGACUACCCGCUGAACUUAA